UACGUAGGGAGCGAGCGUUUGUCCGGAUUCAUUGGGCGUAAAGAGCUCGUAGGCGGUUCAGUAAGUCGGGUGUGAAAUCUCCGUGCUCAACACGGAGCGGCCACCUGAUACUGCUGUGACUCGAGUCCGGUAGGGGAGUGUGGAAUUCCCGGUGUAGCGGUGAAAUGCGCAGAUAUCGGGAGGAACACCAAUGGCGAAGGCAGCUCGCUGGGACGUUACUGACGCUGAGACGCGAAAGCGUGGGGAGCAAACAGGGAUUAAGAAACCCCGG
rnacentral:rRNA from 1 species